GAUGAACGCUGGCGGCGUGCUAAUACAUGCAAGUCGAGCGAACAGAUAAGGAGCUUGCUCCUUUGACGUUAGCGGCGGACGGGUGAGUAACACGUGGAUAACCUACCUAUAAGACUGGGAUAACUUCGGGAAACCGGAGCUAAUACCGGAUAAGAUUUUGAACCGCAUGGUUCAAUAGUGAAAGACGGCCUUGCUGUCACUUAUAGAUGGAUCCGCGCCGUAUUAGCUAGUUGGUAAGGUAACGGCUUACCAAGGCAACGAUACGUAGCCGACCUGAGAGGGUGAUCGGCCACACUGGAACUGAGACACGGUCCAGACUCCUACGGGAGGCAGCAGUAGGGAAUCUUCCGCAAUGGGCGAAAGCCUGACGGAGCAACGCCGCGUGAGUGAUGAAGGUCUUCGGAUCGUAAAACUCUGUUAUCAGGGAAGAACAAACGUGUAAGUAACUGUGCACGUCUUGACGGUACCUGAUCAGAAAGCCACGGCUAACUACGUGCCAGCAGCCGCGGUAAUACGUAGGGCGCAAGCGUUGUCCGGAAUUAUUGGGCGUAAAGAGCUCGUAGGCGGUCUGUCGCGUCUGCUGUGAAAUCCCGAGGCUCAACCUCGGGCUUGCAGUGGGUACGGGCAGACUAGAGUGCGGUAGGGGAGAAUGGAAUUCCUGGUGUAGCGGUGGAAUGCGCAGAUAUCAGGAGGAACACCGAUGGCGAAGGCAGUUCUCUGGGCCGUAACUGACGCUGAGGAGCGAAAGCGUGGGGAGCGAACAGG
rnacentral:rRNA from 1 species